rnacentral:rRNA from 1 species
AGCGAACGCUGGCGGCAGGCCUAAAACAUGCAAGUCGAACGCCGUAGCAAUACGGAGUGGCAGACGGGUGAGUAACACGUGGGAACAUACCCUUUGGUUCGGAACAACACAGGGAAACUUGUGCUAAUACCGGAUAAGCCCUUACGGGGAAAGAUUUAUCGCCAAAGGAUUGGCCCGCGUCUGAUUAGCUAGUUGGUGGGGUAACGGCCCACCAAGGCUACGAUCAGUAGCUGGUCUGAGAGGAUGAUCAGCCACACUGGGACUGAGACACGGCCCAGACUCCUACGGGAGGCAGCAGUUAGGAAUCUUGGACAAUGGGCGCAAGCCUGAUCCAGCCAUGCCGCGUGAGUGAUGAAGGCCUUAGGGUUGUAAAGCUCUUUCAGC